UUUAUAUUUAAAUAGUUUAAUAAAAAAUAUUGAUUUGUGGAAUCAAAGAUAUAAUUUAUAUUUUAAA
rnacentral:tRNA from 1 species